UACGUAGGGGGCAAGCGUUGUCCGGAAUUAUUGGGCGUAAAGCGCGCGCAGGCGGUCUUUUAAGUUUGGUGUUUAAGCCCAGGGCUCAACCCUGGUUCGCACUGAAAACUGGGAGACUUGAGUGCAGGAGAGGAAAGUGGAAUUCCACGUGUAGCGGUGAAAUGCGUAGAGAUGUGGAGGAACACCAGUGGCGAAGGCGACUUUCUGGACUGUAACUGACGCUGAGGCGCGAAAGCGUGGGGAGCAAACAGG
rnacentral:rRNA from 1 species